UACGUAGGGUGCAAGCGUUUGUCCGGAAUUAUUGGGCGUAAAGAGCUCGUAGGCGGUCUGUCGCGUCUGCUGUGAAAACUCAGGGCUUAACCCUGAGCUUGCAGUGGGUACGGGCAGACUAGAGUGCGGUAGGGGAGAUUGGAAUUCCUGGUGUAGCGGUGGAAUGCGCAGAUAUCAGGAGGAACACCAAUGGCGAAGGCAGAUCUCUGGGCCGUAACUGACGCUGAGGAGCGAAAGCAUGGGGAGCGAACAGG
rnacentral:rRNA from 1 species